rnacentral:rRNA from 1 species
CAGCAGCCGCGGUAAAACGUAGGUGGCAAGCGUUGUCCGGAAUUAUUGGGCGUAAAGCGCGCGCAGGUGGUUUAAUAAGUCUGAUGUGAAAGCCCACGGCUCAACCGUGGAGGGUCAUUGGAAACUGUUAAACUUGAGUGCAGGAGAGAAAAGUGGAAUUCCUAGUGUAGCGGUGAAAUGCGUAGAGAUUAGGAGGAACACCAGUGGCGAAGGCGGCUUUUUGGCCUGUAACUGACACUGAGGCGCGGAAGCGUGGGGAGCAAACAGGAUUAGAUACCCCGGUAGUCCCUGUCUCUUAUAC